ACAUGCCUACAACAUAGCAUUAAUGCACCGGAUCCCAUUAGAACUCCACAGUUAAGCACGCUCAGGAUAGAGUAGUACGGGGAUGGGUGACCACUCGAGAAGUCCUACUAUUUUACAUGCC
rnacentral:rRNA from 1 species